AUUGAACGCUGGCGGCAGGCUUAACACAUGCAAGUCGAGCGGAGAUGAGGUGCUUGCACCUUAUCUUAGCGGCGGACGGGUGAGUAAUGCUUAGGAAUCUGCCUAUUAGUGGGGGACAACAUUCCGAAAGGAAUGCUAAUACCGCAUACGUCCUACGGGAGAAAGCAGGGGAUCUUCGGACCUUGCGCUAAUAGAUGAGCCUAAGUCGGAUUAGGCUAGUUGGUGGGGUAAAGGCCUACCAAGGCGACGAUCUGUAGCGGGUCUGAGAGGAUGGUACGGCACACUGGGGGGGAGACACGGCCCAGACUCCUACGGGAGGCAGCAGUGGGGAAUAUUGGACAAUGGGGGGAACCGGGAUCCAGCCAUGCGGCGUGUGUGAAGAAGGCCAUAUGGUUGUAAAGCACUUUAAGCGAGGAGGAGGCUACUGAGACUAAUACUCUUGGAUAGUGGACGUUACUCGCAGAAUAAGCACCGGCUAACUCUGUGCCAGCCGCCGCCGUAAGAC
rnacentral:rRNA from 1 species